UACGUAGGGGGCAAGCGUUAUCCGGAUUUACUGGGUGUAAAGGGAGCGUAGACGGCAGGGCAAGUCUGGAGUGAAAGGCAGGGGCCCAACCCCUGGACUGCUCUGGAAACUGUCCGGCUGGAGUGCAGGAGAGGUAAGUGGAAUUCCUAGUGUAGCGGUGAGAUGCGUAGAUAUUAGGAGGAACACCAGUGGCGAAGGCGGCUUACUGGACUGUAACUGACGUUGAGGCUCGAAAGCGUGGGGAGCAAACAGG
rnacentral:rRNA from 1 species